rnacentral:rRNA from 1 species
UGGGGAAUAUUGCACAAUGGGGGAAACCCUGAUGCAGCGACGCCGCGUGAACGAAGAAGGUAUUCGUAUCGUAAAGUUCUGUCCUAUGGGAAGAUAAUGACAGUACCAUAGAAGAAAGCUCCGGCUAAAUACGUGCCAGCAGCCGCGGUAAUACGUAUGGAGCGAGCGUUGUCCGGAAUUAUUGGGCGUAAAGGGUACGCAGGCGGUUUAAUAAGUCGAAUGUUAAAGAUCGGGGCUCAACCCCGCAAAGCAUUGGAAACUGAUAAACUUGAGUAGUGGAGAGGAAAGUGGAAUUCCUAGUGUAGUGGUGAAAUACGUAGAUAUUAGGAGGAAUACCAGUAGCGAAGGCGACUUUCUGGACACUAACUGACGCUGAGGUACGAAAGCGUGGGGAGCAAACAGG